AUAUGGUAGGAGAGCGUUCUGUAAGCCUGCGAAGGUGUCUUGUAAAGGAUGCUGGAGGUAUCAGAAGUGCGAAUGCUGACAUGAGUAGCGAUAAUGGGGGUGAAAAGCCUCCACGCCGUAAGCCCAAGGUUUCCUGUUCAACGUUCAUCGGAGCAGGGUGAGUCGGCCCCUAAGGCGAGGCAGAGAUGCGUAGCUGAUGGGAAGCAGGUUAAUAUUCCUGCACCGUCGUAUGAUGCGAUGGGGGGACGGAUCGCGGAAGGUUGUCUAGCUGUUGGAAUAGCUAGUUUUUGACUCAUAGAAGGU
rnacentral:rRNA from 2 species